UCCUGGCGGCGAGCGGCGGACGGGUGAGCAAUGCUUAGGAAUCUGCCUAUCAGUGGGGGACAACCCGGGGAAACUCGGGCUAAUACCGCAUACGUUCUGAGGAAGAAAGCAGGGGAUCGCAAGACCUUGCGCUGAUAGAUGAGCCUAAGUCGGAUUAGCUAGUUGGUGAGGUAAUGGCUCACCAAGGCGACGAUCCGUAGCUGGUCUGAGAGGACGACCAGCCACACCGGAACUGAGACACGGUCCGGACUCCUACGGGAGGCAGCAGUGGGGAAUAUUGGACAAUGGGGGCAACCCUAAUCCAGCGACGCCGCGUGGGUGAAGAAGGCCUGCGGGUUGUAAAGCCCUUUCGUCGGGGAAGAAAUGUUCCGACCUAACACGUCGGGAUCUUGACGUUACCCGAAUAAGAAGCACCGGCUAACUCUGUGCCAGCAGCCGCGGUAAUACAGAGGGUGCAAGCGUUAAUCGGAAUUACUGGGCGUAAAGCGUGCGUAGGCGGCUCGUUAAGCCAGAUGUGAAAGCCCCGGGCUCAACCUGGGAACUGCAUUUGGAACUGGCGAGCUAGAGUUUGGUAGAGGGGAGUGGAAUUUCAGGUGUAGCGGUGAAAUGCGUAGAUAUCUGAAGGAACACCAGUGG
rnacentral:rRNA from 1 species